rnacentral:lncRNA from 1 species
CCUAUUUGAAUCUCAUUGCAUUAAAUUUUAGGGAAAAAUGCAGUAAAAGUCUCAAACUUUUGAAAUAUGAACAGACUUUUCUCAAACAUUUCAUUUAUUGCGUCAUAAUCCCUAAUAUUUCCAAACGUUGCAUGUGAGGUCCAUUCGGAUGGUUUCCGUCAAAAAUUUCGUCAGUUGACCGUCAAAAUAAACUUUGACCAUCUUUUAAUCAAGUUUAAAAUAAUAAAAUGGUAACUUUCUACUUACCACAUUAAACAAUUAAAAAAAACUUAAAUAAAAAAAGAAAAAGGAUCUUCUUCCUCACCCAACACCCCUCAAUCAAAAACCAACAAUAAUACAGCUCAAUGUUAUUCGAUAGCCUCGAAAUCUCGCUCUUAAACUUCCUUCCGAUCUCCGCGAAGUCGGUCCUAAUCCCCCAACCCCAUUUGGAUCCUCUACCGACUUAUUCUUCAAAUCUAGGUUGAACUAGGACGGCUGCCAUGGUGGGGCUAGAAAUGAUACAACGCCCCAGAAAUGGUUGGUGAGGGUUUUACUAAGCUCCGACAGAUCUUCUUUGAUACCACGUGAUGGUGAAGUUGGAGACGAGCAUAAUUGUCCAAGUGUUACAAGCUUCUAGGUCCAGAUUGGGCCAUGUUAAUCGUGCUAUCGUCAUCGAGUUUGAGAGUGUUGGCUAUGGAUCGGGCCAACCACGACAUUGCAAAUUAAUAUAGGCGGUAGGAUACGCGUUCGAUUGACUUUGAUUCUCCAAUCGUCGAUGAUGACUUUGGGUGGGUGGCGUGGGGUAGGGCAGGGUUUGAGAAGAGAGGGAGAUCGGACAAGAUUCUUUCAAUACGCCUUUGCUUGAAACCGGUGGUUUCAAUCAGAGGUGGAGGUCGUGGGAGAAGGCGGGGACGAUGAAUUUAUUAUUGUUGGUUUUAGAUUGAGAGGAUGAGUUGGGGAAGAAGAUCCAUUUUUCUUUUUUUUUUUCUUUUUUUUUUCUUUUUUUUUAGGUUUUUGAUUUAAGUUUUCUUUAAUUGUUUAAUGUGAUAAAUAGAAUGUUACCAUUUUACCCUUUUAAAAUUGAUCAAAAGAUGGUCUAAAUUUAUUUUGAUAGUCAAUUGAUGAAAUUUUUUACGAAAACUAUCCAAAGGGGCCUUACAUGCAACGUUUUGAAAGGUUAGGGGUGACGGCUGCAAUAAAUGAAAGGUUCUAGGAAAGUCUAGUAAUGUUUCAAAAG